ACAAACUUCCGGCUCAGGAACUGCCCGUUGUCCCGGCCGCGUUUCCACAGGAAGCCCUCGCGGUACCCUGGAGGGGCGCACAGACCGAGAGACGCGCUGUGGCCCACGGCAAAGUCCCGCCCACACCCAGGUCCGACCACCGCCCAGGCCGCAGCCACCCACAGCCAGGGCUCCCUCGGGUGGCCUCCGAUUACGGCGCACGGUUCGCCGCCUGUGCCAAGGCGUCAUCUCCAGCUGGGGGUCCCGAGCCCCUGUGCGCGGUGCCAGUCCCGGCUGCCGCUGCUCCCUGCUGGGGCCCGGGGAGCAGAAGACGACAGCCCGAGUCCCUGGGCCCUGCACCCGCGUGGGGGACCUGGAGGGAGCUCCUGGCUCCUGGCUUCAGCCAGGCCCAGCUCUGGCCGUUGUGGCCAUUUGGGGGUGAACCAGCGGAUGGAAGCCUAAUUCUCUCAAGUAAAUAAACCUUUAAAAAGAAG